ACGCUCGACACCUACGGGAGCAGCAGUGGGGAAUAUUGCACAAUGGGGGAAACCCUGAUACAGCGACGCCGCGUGAGCGAGGAAGUAUUUCGGUAUGUAAAGCUCUAUCAGCAGGGAAGAAAGUGACGGUACCUGACUAAGAAGCACCGGCUAAAUACGUGCCAGCAGCCGACGGUAAUCUGAGGCGGCUGGCAAGGC
rnacentral:rRNA from 1 species